UACGUAGGGUGCAAGCGUUAAUCGGAAUUACUGGGCGUAAAGCGUGCGCAGGCGGCUUUGCAAGACAGAUGUGAAAUCCCCGGGCUCAACCUGGGAACUGCAUUUGUGACUGCAUGGCUAGAGUACGGUAGAGGGGGAUGGAAUUCCGCGUGUAGCAGUGAAAUGCGUAGAUAUGCGGAGGAACACCGAUGGCGAAGGCAGCCCCCUGGGUCAAGAUUGACGCUCAUGCACGAAAGCGUGGGGAGCAAACAGG
rnacentral:rRNA from 1 species